rnacentral:rRNA from 1 species
CCUACGGGCGGCAGCAGUGGGGAAUAUUGCUCAAUGGGGGAAACCCUGAAGCAGCAACGCCGCGUGGAGGAUGAAGGUUCUCGGUAUCUAAACUCCUUUUUUUAGAGGAGAUAAUGACGGUAUCUAACGAAUAAGCACCGGCUAACUCCGAGCCACAAGCCGCGGUCAUACGGAGGGUGCAAGCGUUACUCGGAAUUACUGGGCGUAAGGGGCGCGUAGGCGGGAUAGCAAGUCAGGUGUGAAAUCCUAGGGCUUAACCAUAGAACUGCCUUUGAAACUGUUAGUCUAGAGUAUGGGAGAGGUAGGCGGAAUUCUUGGUGUAGCGGUAAAAUGCGUAGAUAUCAAGAGGAAUACUCAUUGCGAAGGCGGCCUGCUAGAACAUAACUGACGCUGAUGCACGAAAGCGUGGGGAGCAAACAGGAUUAGAUACCCGAGUAGUC